rnacentral:snoRNA from 1 species
UAGUCCAUUAUGAUGAAAUAUUUGCGGAUGUAAAAAUUUGUCAUGUCGGAAAGCGCAAAAAACAAUGUCGAGAUUUCCGUUGCCUUCCUUCUGAUAUUGGGACA